rnacentral:misc_RNA from 1 species
AAUGCAAGUUGGGCCUGAAGCCAUUAGGUUGAAGGCACGUUUGCUUGGGCGUCACGCAUUGCGUCACCCACUCCUCCGUGCCCCAAGUGGGCGUGUCAGUGCGUGGGCGGAUAUUGGCUCCCCGUUCACAUCCGUGCUCGGUCGGCCUAAAAAACGGGUCCCCAAUGACGGACAUCACGACAAGUGGUGGUUGCUAAAUCGUUGCGUCAUGCCGUGCAUGCCAUCCUUUGUUGUGGGUUGGCCCAUUUGACCCUAAAGCGCCGUUUAACUGCGGCGCCUCAACUGCGACCCCAGGUCAGGCGGGAUUACCCAUUGAGUUUAA